CCAAUAGCGUAUAUUAAAGUUGUUGCAGUUAAAAAGCUCGUAGUUGAAUUUCGGGGUUAGUAGGUUGGUCAUGCCUCUGGUAUGUACUGGUCUCACUGAUUCCUCCUUCCUGAUGAACCUUAAUGCCAUUAAUUUGGUGUUUUGGGGAAUUUGGACUGUUACUUUGAAAAAAUUAGAGUGUUUAAAGCAAGCUAACGCUUGAAUACAUUAGCAUGGAAUAAUGAAAUAGGACGUUCGAUCCUAUUUUGUUGGUUUCUAGGAUUGACGUAAUGAUUAAUAGGGAUAGUUGGGGGCAUUAGUAUUCAAUUGUCAGAGGUGAAAUUCUUGGAUUUAUUGAAGACUAACUACUGCGAAAGCAUUUGCAAAGGAUGUUUUCAUUAAUCAAGCACGAAAGUUAGGGGAUCGAAGACGAUCAGAUACCGUCGUAGUAUGAACCAUAAACUAUGCCGACUAGGGAUCGGAUGAUGUUAAUUUUUUAAUGACUCAUUCGGCGCCUUACG
rnacentral:rRNA from 1 species